CAUCAAGUUUAAUUUUAUAGAUAUUAGCUCCUCUAAGAACUUUUUUAAAAAGACUGUCCUAUUAUUGACAAACACCUUUUGCUUUAUAGUGAGGUAGAAGUAGUACCUAUUAGUUUUUUUUAGGUAUCCUAUGAACAAGUAUCUAUCAGACUUAGGUCCAAGCUUAUCUAUCAUUAAAUAUUUGACAUAAGCUAGACACCCCC
rnacentral:lncRNA from 1 species